rnacentral:lncRNA from 1 species
UGCAAGAAGAUUGGGUUCAUGAUUAUCUUAUUUAUCACUCCAUCUUUCAAAGAAGCUGUGGAUAUGUUGAAGAUGCAGUUCCAGAACAGUUUGCUAUGAAAAUCAGGAAGCUGCAACGCCUGAGACCACAUCAGACGCAUGUGACCACAUCAGACGCCUGUGAUCACAUCAGACGCCUGUGAUCACAUCAGACACUUGAUGUUGCUGACAUGGACUCGUAAGAUGCAGCUUAAUAAGAUCAUUUUGCCAAAACAAUUUUUGGCAACAUUCAUGAGCGACAUGCGGUCGACGCAUUCAUGAGCGACAUGCGGUCGACGCAUUCGUCUUCAUCUUCUUAGAUUUUUAUGAAUUUUGUUUUUUUUUGGAACAAUUUCUAGUUUCAAGAACAAUUUCAUGUAUUCGGUUUUUAAAAUAUUCACUGAAAUUCUAAAUUUAGAAAUUUAAAUUUUUAUGCAUUUUUGUUAAUUAAUUUGAUUUUUUAAUUUACAUAAUUUUGC